rnacentral:piRNA from 1 species
UGGCACAACCCUGGAUCUACGACCCACA